UGGGACCGGGGCUGUGUCCGACCCGAUCUGCUCGGACCCACCCCCGGCACUUGAAGUGCCCGGCGUGUAACGAGCGCUUAAAUGCCACAGUUAUUAGGAUGACUGUUAUUGUCUGAUGAGAGAAUCGAGGGCACCCAGCAGACGAGUGGCGGAGCCGGGAUCGGAACCCAGGUCCUCCUGCCUCCCAGACCCGGGCUGUGUCUGUUAGGGCACGCCGCUUCUCGACAGGUGGAAGACCCCUCUUGGCCACAUCCUCCCUCGUCCGGUUCUCUCCACGGAACCCGGCCGGGCUUCCAGAUUCUAAUCAGAACGGGCUUCUCAUCUCGGGAGAAUCCUCCGGCCUCGGACCCACGCCGGCCCUCGUCCCGGCUCGGCCCCAGGCUCUCCGGUUAGGCUUCACCGUCCCGCCUUCGGCCGCUCCGGCGCUCAGUCGUCGCAACGGUCCCGUGUCUCGUCGCUUCAGGGUGGGGCGGGUCCUUCUCUUGAGCAGGAUCUGAGCGGCGAGCAACAGUCGACAGCCUGUUUCGCAGGCCACUUGUGCGCGAGGGGUUGGCUAAUUGGCGUAUUAAUGGAAACUGCGGUCAGCAGAAGGCAAGGCCCAAUUCCCGCCUAGGCCUCAUGCAGGCACACAUGCUCUCUUGGCAGCGGUAACUCUUCGAGCGCCUCCCGAUCGGAUUUUAAAUGCCCUUUUCGGCCGUUGGGUAAAUGGAAUCGGAACGCCGUCUCUUCCCACCUCUUCAGAAAAGCCGUUUUUUUUUUGUUUUUGUUUUUUUUUUUAAAAGAAACUUAAAUGGCAUUUAAGCGCUUA